AAAAAUUGCAAAAUGUCUCACCGGGAAUGCUGAGGUACCAAUGGGAAGAUGCGGUUCGAUUUUGGAAUUCGAAGAAAGGAGAGGACCGUGAGCGAGUUGGAACAAGCAGCAGGCAAAAACAAAAAUUUACGCACACGGCAGGGUCGAGAAGUUUUGCUUGUGUAGCUCAAGCCGCGGUACUAUGGAUUUAUUAACUCUAUCAAGUAUUAAUGACUUUUUACAAUUAAAUAAUAUUUACUACUAUAUUGUAGGAAGCCUCGUCUGGUCAAAAAGUUGGACGCCUUCAGCUUUUUGACAUUACGCACAGGAAAAAAGAUGGAACUCCGAUGACAUCUGAGGCUGCAGAAAUUAUGGUAUGGUCGGGUUAGAUUUCAAGGAUCUGGUGUUAACCCGACCCAAUAUUUUGGAUCCACCUCGCACCAAUACAUGCCUUCCGGGAGUCAAAGUCAAGCUGAAGUUCAGAGGCUAAAAGAUUAGAUAGUUCAGAUACAAGCUAGCACAGAUGAGCAAAUUUCUCAACUUAGAGACGAGGCAGCAGCGCGGGAGGCGGAGGCAGCAACGAGGGAGGCGGAGCAGAACAGAAAAUACAAUAAACUCCAGCUACAGCUUCAGUCUAUGAUGACUAUGUCCCAGCAAUUUCAAAAUCCGCCAUCUUAGACAUUUGUUUUCUUGUAACUUUUAACAUUAUUGUAAGAAUAUUUUGAAUAUUCAUUUACAAUUUAUAUAAUAUAUUUUUCGUAUAA